rnacentral:rRNA from 1 species
CUCAUGGUUUCACGGUAUUGCAAUGAUAACAAUUUAAAACCCUUAGCGAGAAUCAAGUGGAGGACAAGUCUGGUGCCAGCACCCGCGGUAAUUCCAGCUCCACUAGCGUAUAUUAAAGUUGUUGCAGUUAAAAAGCUCGUAGUUGAACCUCUGUCUGGGGCUAGUUUUGGCUUUGGUCAGGCUAGUUCUAGGCAUCCGCCUACAAGACUUAGAGGGCAUUCAGUUGUUCACUAGGAGGAGUAGGCAUUUUACUUUGAAAAAAUUAGAGUGUUUAAGGCAGGCAAUCGCCCGCAUAUAUUAGCAUGGAAUAAUAGAAUAGGACACUUUUCCAUUUCGUUGGUUAUUGGAAUCGUGUAAUGAUUAAUAGGGACAGUUGUGGGCAUUUGUAUUUAAUUGUCAGAGGUGAAAUUCUUGGAUUUAUUAAAGACAAACUAACGCGAAAGCAUUUGCCAAGGAUGUUUUCAUUAAUCAAGAACGAAAGUUAGGGGAUCAAAGACGAUCAGAUACCGUCCUAGUCUUAACUAUAAACUAUUCCGACUCAAUGUUUGACUGGCUUAUAUAACCAGUUGAGCGUUGUAUGAGAAAUCAAAGUCUUUAGGUUCUGGGGGGAGUAUGGUUGCAAAGCUGAAACUUAAAGGAAUUGACGGAAGAGCACAACCAGGAGUGGAUUCUGCGGCUUAAUUUGACUCAACACGGGGAAACUUACCAGGUUAAAACAAUAGUGGGAUUGACAGUUUGAGAGCGCUUUCUUGAUCGGUUGGGUGGUGGUGCAUGGCCGUUCUUAGUUGGUGGAGUGAUUUGUCUGCUUAAUUGCGUUAACGAACGAGACCUUAACCUGCUUACUAGACUGGCGAUCAUCAAUCGUUAGCUCUUCUUAGAGGGACUUUGGUUGUUUUAACUCCAAGGAAGUUUGAGGCAAUAACAGGUCUGUGAUGCCCUUAGAUAUCCUGGGCCGCACGCGUCAUACAAUGACUAGUUCAGAAAGUUUUCUCCUGACCCGAAAGGGGAUGGGUAAUCUUGAUAAUACUAGUCGUGUUAGGGAUCGAUCUUUGCAAUUAUAGAUCUUGAACGAGGAAUUCCUAGUAAGUGCGGUUCAUCAGACCGUACUGAUUACGUCCCUGCUCUUUGUACACACCGCCCGUCGCUUCUACCGAGUGGGUGGUCCGGUGAGAUAAUUGAACUUCGCAGGUAACUGAGAGGAAAGAUUAUCAAACCUAUCCACCU